UGCGGACUGGACAGACAAAAAAAAAAAAGGAAGCAAGAAAAAAAAACUCCACCCUUGCUCCAGAUUAUACACUCAAUCUCUCUGGCUCGUCAUUUCUCUCCCUCUCACAACUAGACAGAAAAGCCAGAGAAGAAAGAAAAAAAAAACUUCCCUCAACCUUUUCUCUCCUAAUAUUUUCCCAACACAUUCACAGGCAUCAGAGAAAUUUCAGUCAAGCGGUGGUGCUACCAGAAGCCGUCAUAGCCACCAGCUGCGAAGAGUUUCGGAUUGCUGAGGAGAAGAAAGCUUCUUCGUACAGGCUGCAUGUUCCAAAAUUGUAUUUUGCCCCUCAUUUUUUAAUUAAUUUCACUAUAGCCCAAACACUUUUGCAAUUGAUUCCAUUUCACCCUUUUAAAUUUUAAUCAUUUUUUUAAGUAGUUUUUUGGUAGAUUAAUUCUGGAUUUUAGAUUAUAAUUGUGGUUUAAUAAUUUUAGUUGAUUUGUUUAUCUUGUUGGGUUUAGUAUUAUGGUUUAGGUUUUUGGGUAAUAAUAUUUGGUUGGGUUUGUAAGAGUGGGUUUGGUUUAUUUGUUUUGAGUUUUUGGCUUGGGCUGGGGGGUCGAAGCCCAACUGUUCUGUUUGCUAAUUUUGGGUCAAAAUAAUAGACUGACCCGCUCCUUUUACCUUGAACUUCCGAUUGGGUUUUGGAGGCUUUAGCCCAAGGAAAUAAAAAAUAUGGCCCGAUGGCCCAAUUCCUUAAGUGAUCUGGUGACAAAUUUUCAGAACAAUCCCUAUACUUUUGAGUAAUUAUAUUGGGGCUCUAAAUACUUUAUGUUUCUUUCAAUUAGAUUCCUGAUUCAAUUACAAAUAGGUCCCUAAACUUUAUUUUUUUAAUUUGGGCCCUUAUUUUUAUGAUAAUUAUAAUUUGACCCUAAAACUUUAUUAAUCUUUGCAAUUAGGUCCUUGGCAAAUUUUAUUUCUCAAAUAGAAGUUGUUUUUCUUCUUUAUUUAUGAAUUAUAUUCCAUUUGAAUGAUUCAAUUGAUUGAUUUCAUGUUUAUUUCUAUUUUUAUAGUUUAUUUGUUAAAUAAAUUGGUACCUUGAUGAUUUUUGUUAAUUUUAGAGUUAAAUAGGCAAAUCCAAACCCAAUUAACUACUACUUCGAGGGAGGUAUCUUCUUGUUUUAUUUUAAAUUUUCUUAUGUGCUUUUAUGUGUUUUCAUGUGUGAAUUUGCAUGUUUUGAGUGAUUUUCUUUUAGUUAUUUGGUUUUAUUUGCUUUAAGUUUCAUAUAUUUGAUUUAAUUUUGAUGAUUAUUUGAGAGGCAAUUGAAUGCCAAAUUGUAAUAGUUAGAUUAUUAUUUUAUUUCAUUUUUUUACCCCUUUAGAUUGUAUUUAGGGUUUCCAAAUAUAAUAGUUAGGUCUCUAUUUGUUUUUGUUCGCUUGUGUGCUUGCAUGCUUAUGUGUUUACUCGUUUUUCUUAGGAUCUUUGUAUCUAAAUAUCAUACUUAUGUGUUAUGUACUAUAUGUGAUUUAUGUGUUUAUCUGC